GUUAGGAAUAUUGGACAAUGGGCGAAAGCCUGAUCCAGCCAUGCCGCGUGAACGAUGAAGGCCUUCGGGUUGUAAAGUUCUUUAGCCGAUGAUUAUAAUGACUGUAGUCGGAAAAUAAGCCCCGGCUAACUUCGUGCCAGCAGCCGCGGUAAUACGAAGGGGGCGAGCGUUAUUCGGAAUCACUGGGCGUAAAGCGUGCGUAGGCGGUUUUGUAAGUUAGGAGUAAAAGCCCAGGGCUCAACCUUGGAAUUGCUCUUAAAACUGCAAGGCUCGAAUCUCGGAGAGGAUAGCGGAAUUUCCAGUGUAGCAGUGAAAUGCGUAGAUAUUGGAAGGAACACCCGUGGCGUAAGCGGCUAUCUGGACGAGUAUUGACGCUGAGGCACGAAAGCGUGGGGAUCAAACAGGAUUAGAUACCCCGGUAGUCC
rnacentral:rRNA from 1 species